CUAACAGGAUUCCCCUAGUAACUGCGAGUGAAGCGGGAAAAGCUCAAAUUUAAAAUCUGGCGGUCUUUGGCCGUCCGAGUUGUAGUCUGGAGAAGUGCUUUCCGCGCUGGACCGUGUACAAGUCUCUUGGAACAGAGCGUCAUAGAGGGUGAGAAUCCCGUCUUUGACACGGACUACCAGUGCUUUGUGAUGCGCUCUCAAAGAGUCGAGUUGUUUGGGAAUGCAGCUCAAAAUGGGUGGUAAAUUCCAUCUAAAGCUAAAUAUUGGCGAGAGACCGAUAGCGAACAAGUACCGUGAGGGAAAGAUGAAAAGCACUUUGGAAAGAGAGUUAAACAGUACGUGAAAUUGCUGAAAGGGAAACGCUUGAAGUCAGUCGCGUUCGCCAGGACUCAGCCUUGCUUUAGUGAGGUGCAUUUUCUGGUUGACGGGCCAGCAUCGAUUUUGGUUGUCGGAUAAAGGCAGGGGGAAUGUGGCAUCUUCGGAUGUGUUAUAGCCCUCAGUCACAUACGACGGCUGGGAUCGAGGACCGCAGCACGCCUUUAUGGCCGGGGUUCGCCCACGUUCGUGCUUAGGAUGCUGGCAUAAUGGCUUUAAACGACCCGUCUUGAAACACGGACCAAGGAGUCUAACAUGCCUGCGAGUGUUUGGGUGGAAAACCCGAGCGCGUAAUGAAAGUGAAAGUUGAGAUCCCUGUCGUGGGGAGCAUCGACGCCCGGACCUGACCUUCUGUGAUGGAUCUGCGGUAGAGCAUGUAUGUUGGGACCCGAAAGAUGGUGAACUAUGCCUGAAUAGGGUGAAGCCAGAGGAAACUCUGGUGGAGGCUCGUAGCGAUUCUGACGUGCAAAUCGAUCGUCAAAUUUGGGUAUAGGGGCGAAAGACUAAUCG
rnacentral:rRNA from 1 species